rnacentral:tRNA from 1 species
GCCCGGGUGGCGGAAUUGGUAGACGCGCAUGAUUCAGGGUCAUGUCACCGUAAGGUGGUGCGGGUUCGAGUCCCGCCUCGGGCA